AUGACCAGAGGCAAAGAGCCUCCCUAAAUUCGGCCUCUUCCUAGACCCUGUAUUAGCCAGGUAUGAUCUGUACAGACAGUCUGGCUGUAACAGAGGAAGGCAGUCACAGUUUUGUAGUCAAAAGCUGUGAAAAAAUGUAGCUACUUCUUAAUUGCAGAAGGAGGGAAAAUGUUAUGAUCCUGAUUCAGGACUGCCUUCAUGAUGAGAUGCGUAAUUUAAUUACAUUUUUAUCUGCAAAUACCUCUGCUGACCUUGGGACACAGAGUGCAAACUUCUCCAAAAUUAGGAACUGCCUUUGUUCUUAACCAGGUGCUCUGGGGCCAAACCAAUGGAAACUGUGCGAAGGAAAAGUGUUGAAUUUGGAGUUAUCAAAGGUACAGGAAUGGAAGGAACUUCAUCAAGGGUGCCCAGCCUCUGAGAACAAACUCAAUGGCAGCUCAGAGCGACACCUCCAGCGCAGCAUUCCAGCAGGGUGUGGGAGUCUGCUCCUGCAGAUGUUGUUCCCAUCCCCAGGCAGCUGCGGUCCUUGCCGAAAUCUCACCGAGCCACAACCCGAGAGGCAGAAGAACUGCACAAAAGAAAGGCCAUGUGAUCAGAGGGAAGGUUAUUCUGUCCCAACCCAAAGAACAUGCCCAAGGCUGCGUUCCAUCUCCUCUCCCUCACUUGCUCCCUUCAACUUCCCAGCUUCUUCCUCCCAUUUACCUGCAGUGCCACACAUCCAAAAGCAGAGUCUUCACCUUCAGGAGUUCUUCAGCCCCUGCCACACCUAAGGCUAAAGAGAGGUGGAUUUUCACAGAAUGCAACAGAAGAGUCAGCUUCAAAGACCUUGAUCACUUUCUGUGAACUCAUAACAUACACUAAAAAAUAAAGGCUGCUUGGUUCCGAGAAAAAGCAUCCUCUGGUGUGUACAGCAGCAUGUAAGAGCAGUGUUUCCUGGCCACAAACAGCAGUACCUGCUGCAGCACUGAUUCCAGGGAUGAGCUUUCCUCAUGGAUACGGGGACA